CUGUGGCCAUAAAGUGUAAAACUGUACUUUUAAAAGUUAGUAGAAAGGCUUGAUAGUAUUUUAGAUACCAAGAAUAAAGAAUUUUCGGAGUGUU
rnacentral:lncRNA from 1 species